AACAAACACAUUUAUUAUUUGCUGCAGGAAUAUGAUUUAUUCAGACUGUAACCAGAUAAACAUCAAACUCUUCAUUAUUUCAGAAGCAAAGAUCACUACAUGGGAAAGGGUAUAUAAACAAUGACGUACACAAGUACAAAAAAUACUUGAUCAAUAAAAUUGUCAGUUUGAUGAUGGAACUCGCCUGAAGAGUAAUUUCUCCCAAAUCAAUCAGCACUAUUCCAUUUUGUUUUAAAUAUAUGUUUAUGCUUGGAUAAUCAAGAAUUAUUCUCUAAACGAUGUUUUGUAUAAAUGUAGAGUAUGACUGCCUGAAGUACUAGAAUUUACCAUUUCUUGAAUGUUGCCAGUAUCCACGACUAUCCUCCAAGAGUUGCAUUUAAAUUGAAUCGCAAACUAUCUCUGUUUACAAGAGAAUAAUUAAUGAACCCCUUUGUGAAUCACUUCUCAUUGAAAAGAUAUUUGGAAUGAAUUAUAUUUCAACUGUUCACAGGACAAUGCCUUCAUGGACACUAGAUCAAUUCUUUGCAAUUAUAUAUGUAUCUUACCCUGGCACAAAUAGGCCCGUAUUCACAAAGGUAUCUGACCAUUUUGGACAAUAUAUGCAAUCUAUGAUCUUCAAUUCAUUUUUUUGGUGUAAGGUGCUU